UUUGGAGAUCCGGACCCGGCUUUUCCAAUCAAUUUGGGAAAUUAGAGUAAAAAGCCCUAGUCUGAAAUCUCAGAUUGUAAGCAAGUAAAACCCUAGCUGCAGCAGGUAGGGAGAAAAAUUCGAUCAAAACCUUCAAAGACGACUUUAAAAGGUGAUGUUUUCAAAGGCCAACAGAAGAAGAAGUCCGUCCAUCCCUCCCAAUCGCCAUGAAAUGUCCAUACAUAUGCCCUCUAUGUAAAUUCAUGUGGUCCUGAUGAGAAGCUAUUUUCGAACUUGAAUUGAAGGGAAGAGAGGUGUGAAAUCAUCGAAAAACACAGAUGUGGAUCGUGAGCUAACCAAGUUCAUAAAUAACUGCAAUGAAGUAAAAGCUCCUAUUAUUUAUUUAUUUUGGAUAACAAUGAAUACUCGCAGCCACUACCCAAUGGUGUGCAUUGAGUAAAUCCCACCUCAUGACUCUAGUCAAUAAAGGAUCACAAGGAAGUAAAUCACCUUAAAUUGCCCUAGUCAAUAAAGGAUCACAAGGAAGUAAAUCACCUUAAAUUGCCUAUAGUUAACCGGCUCAAACCAAAAAGCCCAAUAGGCCGCUCUCACUAGGGGAGCCGAACUUGAAACCUUGUGGUUACAAAGUCAACAACUUAACUAACUUAGUUGGGUUGUUAAAAAAAAAAAAGCUGCUACUAUUGCUACUAAGGAUGGUGGUCGGUUAAGCAUAGUUAAGCCACAGCCAGAGUCCUCCAAUGCAGCAAAGUGGAUUCUCAUCAGCUAGUGGUUUAAAAGGAGCAAAGGGAGCUAUUUACUGUAUUUACUGUUUACAUGUAAAAGCCAAAUUUUGACCAUUUUCAUAGUGUUAAAAGCUUUGUUUUAGAAGCAUGUCCUGUUUCCAUUUCUAUGAAAAUCUCUUCUGCUGUGUUUA